CACUGACAAGUAGCUGUUUGCACUGCGAUAAGCCAGAAUGAGUUAGUAAGCGUGAUCAUUUCACUUUUUAGAAAUUAUAGUGAACGUUUCUAAAGUAUAACCAACAAAUAUUCCUCAUUCAAUUAUUUAGAUCCAGUUGGCUUGCCGAGCAGGGGAAUUUUAAUGCUGGAAACUUAAUCCCUUCCAACAAAAACCGAAACCGAAGCAGGUGAAAUUCUUAUCCUGCAGCUAUUUCUGAGCACAGAGCUGCCAAGGCAGCUGAGGAUCUGGAUGCUUUCCCCACGUUGCCCGGGGACUGCUGGGGCAGGGAGUAAAUCAGGCAGCUGGGCCCAGCGCUUGUAAUCCCACCCAGCCUGAAGUUGGAGCCUGAAGAAGGGUCUGGACUAGUGGGGGAGGAUGUUGGGCAAUAAUGGGAUUGGGAGAGUGGGGAGAAUGGGGUAUACCUUGUCUCAUUGGUCGCCCUGAUGGCCUGUCACAUGUGUGCCCCACUUUGGAGCUCCCUGUUCCAGACAAUAGUGACUCUUGUUGGCGAUUUCCUGUCCCACCUUUAUUGUGACUCCAACAGAAAAUAAGGGACCCAUAGGCCACCACAACACCAGGCCCGGGCCUGGUCAGAGAAGAGCAUGGGUGCCGGUCAGUGCGGCGUCCCUCACAGAGAGCCUGGCUCCCUGCGACAAGCCCACAGUUAUCCCCAUUGCUGCGCCUGAGUCAGUGUGGAGACAAGCUCGGGCUAACAGGAAGCUUGGGCUGGGGCAGGAGCCCCCAGGGUGGCCCAUCCCCCACUGUCCCAGGUGGUCCCGUUCAGAGCUUUAAACCAGUCCUUGGAGGCGCGUGAUGUUUGCAAGAACGCCCCCCCAGUUUGCCUUUAAGGGGACGUCCUCCAGUGUGACCCCCAAGCUCCUUUAAGGGAGCUCUCGUUCUCUGCACCCCAGGCUUGCACAGGCCAUGGCACACAGCAGGAUCUUAAUAAAUGCCGAAGUGAAAAAAACC
rnacentral:lncRNA from 1 species